AACAGAUGAUAGUCCUUCAAGAACAAUUAUGUCAGAGAGACUUGGUCAUAAAGACACAAAGAAAGAGUCUCGAGAAAGUGAGUGGAGCGUUGGGCGAUAAUCAGAGCCAGCAAUAUCAAAAGGAUUCUCACAAAUGUGAGGACACCCAGAAAAACGAAAAUGAAGAUAACGAAGGAAUAGACGAGCUUCCCAACAGCGACAAUGCACAGUCAUCG